AAGAGGAGGACAGGUGCCGCCCUCGAGGGAGAGAUCCGUGGACGCAGGACGCAGUCGAGACGAGGAGGAGGGAACGCGCCGAGGGGUUUUCGUGACCCGAGAGGCUGUUUGCGCGUUUGAGUGGACAAAUGCAGACUGCGGUUCCACACGCGCGAAGCAGAAAGGACGAAAGACAGGCGGGGGGAAGAAAGAGGGGGAAACACGGGCUUUAGCGGAGUCCCGUGUCCUGAACGCGGUGAAGAGCGCCAACAAAAAGCCGCGAGGGGCUAUAUAUAUAUAUAUAUAUAUAUAUAUAUAUAUAUAUGCUGGCCUACGCAGAGAGUGUCGGUCCGGCGUGUUUUUCCCCGAAGAACGACGGAAACGAAAAAAGUGGACUGAAAGCGAAGAAAACGCGGGCUGAUUCGAGGGGCAGACAAACUGACGGCCACGGCGAGAGAGAGAGAAUGCUUAAAAUGGCUGAACGCGAGGAAGACGCCAGUUGAGUGCGUUCCGCGAAGAAAAGCCGAGAACGCGUGAACUCCUCUGCGCUCCGUCCCCGCAUCAGAAAAAGUGCUAGGCCGCGCGUCUAGCAGGACAUCCGCUCGUGCGAAAGAGAACAAAGUGAAAAGGCAAGCAAAGAUAGCCAGAAAUGCUACCAAUGCGAUUCAGCAAGACAAAGAGAGCCGCCCGGCAGCAAGCUGCCACGUCUAAACGCCGCAUCGCUAGCUCGCGUGUGACGGAGAAUCUGAGCGCGUCGAUUUUGCGGGGAAAACGCACAGCAAAAGAGGCGACACAGUGGAAUGGAGAAGGCAACGAAAAGGAAGAAAGUAAAGAAGGAAAAUGCGAAAAUCGUCCCGUCUGAAGACUUCGGCCAACUCGCCCUCGGGCGCCUUGGUUUCGCCACUGCCAGACGUGCGUCGUUUUCCGUCGAUUGUCUUUCAGCUAGCUUUGCCGUUCUGUCUUUCGAGGAAACGGUCGAAAAGGUGAUUGUUAUGUUUUAAGAGCACUUCAGGCUCGAAGACAUCUUUUGCCUUUGGUGUACGAGGGCCUUCGUGGAGAUUUCGCCUGUAGUGUCGGUCGCGACGCCGGGAGAUUUUUCACGGCUUUUGGCCUGCCCCGAGGCGUUAGACACUUUCCAAUACGGAUGCAGAGGAAAACGCACUUUAGUGAGGCACGUCUGGACUCUUUCAAAGAAACAAAGCGAUUAGAGCCAGCGCAGACGGUCUGACAAACGCGUCGCGCCUUCUUGGCACCAAGUAGAGCCCGGUACUGCGACCGACACAGCUCUUGUGUCGCGUCGUCGGCUGUGUGGACGAGGGGCGAGGAGCCGACAGAGCUCCGAAAGCUCUCUAGGGUUUUGUCUUUUGAAGUUCAGAGAUGAC
rnacentral:lncRNA from 1 species